GCCGGAGUAGCUCAGAGGUAGAGCGCAUCCUUGGUAAGGAUGAGGUCACGAGUUCAAUCCUCGUCUUCGGCU
rnacentral:tRNA from 1 species